UCCCAGACUCCUACGGGAGGCAGCAGUGGGGAAUAUUGGACAAUGGGGGGAACCCUGAUGCAGCGACGCCGCGUGGGUGAAGGAGCGUUUCGGCGCGUAAAGCCCUAUCGGCAGGGAAGAAGGAGGACGGUACCUGACUAAGAAGCCCCGGCUAACUACGUGCCAGCAGCCGCGGGAAUACGUAGGGGGCAAGCGUUAUCCGGAUUCACUGGGUGUAAAGGGAGCGUAGACGGCCAUGCAAGCCAGGGGUGAAAGCCCGGGGCCCAACCCCGGGACUGCCCUUGGAACUGCAUGGCUGGAGUGCGGGAGGGGCAGGCGGAAUUCCUGGUGUAGCGGUGAAAUGCGUAGAUAUCAGGAGGAACACCGGCGGCGAAGGCGGCCUGCUGGACCGCGACUGACGUUGAGGCUCGAAAGCGUGGGGAGCGAACAGGAUUAGAUCCCCCCGUA
rnacentral:rRNA from 1 species